GGAAGUAAAAGUGUAACAAGGUUUCCGUAGGUGAACCUGCGGAAGGAUCAUUAAUGAGUUGUCAUGGGGUUCGAUGCUGGCAGCCAGUUUUUAGAUGCAUGUGCUUGCCCUAACAAUCGUCUUCUUCCAAACACCUGUGCACAUUUUUGAGGGAGUCUUGAGUUGGUUGCCGCUCUUGGGUGAUUUUCUCACAUUCCCUUAAAUCAUUAUACGCUAUUAACAAUGUUGAACGUGCUCUGUGCCGCAAGGCCAUUAAUAUAAUACAACUUUUAACAACGGAUCUCUUGGCUCUC
rnacentral:misc_RNA from 1 species